ensembl:snRNA U6 U6 spliceosomal RNA
GUGCUCACUUUGGCAGCAUGUAUACUAAAAUUGGAAUGAUACAAAGAAGAUUAGCAUGGCCCCUGCCCAAGGAUGACACGUAAAAUAAACUCUGCCAUAUAAAA